rnacentral:rRNA from 1 species
UACGUAGGGGGGCAAGCGUUGUCCGGAUUUAUUGGGCGUAAAGCGCGUGUAGGCGGCCAGGUAGGUCCGUUGUGAAAACUCGAGGCUCAACCUCGAGACGUCGACGGAAACCCUCUGGCUAGAGUCCGGAAGAGGAGAGUGGAAUUCCUGGUGUAGCGGUGAAAUGCGCAGAUAUCAGGAAGAACACCCGUGGCGAAGGCGGCUCUCUGGGACGGUACUGACGCUGAGACGCGAAAGCGUGGGGAGCGAACAGG